CGUACACGGUGGAUGCCCUGGCAGUCAGAGGCGAUGAAGGACGUGCUAAUCUGCGAUAAGCGUCGGUAAGGUGAUAUGAACCGUUAUAACCGGCGAUUUCCGAAUGGGGAAACCCAGUGUGAUUCGUCACACUAUCAUUAACUGAAUUCAUAGGUUAAUGAGGCGAACCGGGGGAACUGAAACAUCUAAGUACCCCGAGGAAAAGAAAUCAACCGAGAUUCCCCCAGUAGCGGCGAGCGAACGGGGAGGAGCCCAGAGCCUGAAUCAGUGUGUGUGUUAGUGGAAGCGUCUGGAAAGGCGCGCGAUACAGGGUGACAGCCCCGUACACAAAAAUGCACAUGCUGUGAGCUCGAUGAGUAGGGCGGGACACGUGGUAUCCUGUCUGAAUAUGGGGGGACCAUCCUCCAAGGCUAAAUACUCCUGACUGACCGAUAGUGAACCAGUACCGUGAGGGAAAGGCGAAAAGAACCCCGGCGAGGGGAGUGAAAAAGAACCUGAAACCGUGUACGUACAAGCAGUGGGAGCCUCUUUAUGGGGUGACUGCGUACCUUUUGUAUAAUGGGUCAGCGACUUAUAUUCUGUAGCAAGGUUAACCGAAUAGGGGAGCCGAAGGGAAACCGAGUCUUAACUGGGCGUUAAGUUGCAGGGUAUAGACCCGAAACCCGGUGAUCUAGCCAUGGGCAGGUUGAAGGUUGGGUAACACUAACUGGAGGACCGAACCGACUAAUGUUGAAAAAUUAGCGGAUGACUUGUGGCUGGGGGUGAAAGGCCAAUCAAACCGGGAGAUAGCUGGUUCUCCCCGAAAGCUAUUUAGGUAGCGCCUCGUGAAUUCAUCUCCGGGGGUAGAGCACUGUUUCGGCAAGGGGGUCAUCCCGACUUACCAACCCGAUGCAAACUGCGAAUACCGGAGAAUGUUAUCACGGGAGACACACGGCGGGUGCUAACGUCCGUCGUGAAGAGGGAAACAACCCAGACCGCCAGCUAAGGUCCCAAAGUCAUGGUUAAGUGGGAAACGAUGUGGGAAGGCCCAGACAGCCAGGAUGUUGGCUUAGAAGCAGCCAUCAUUUAAAGAAAGCGUAAUAGCUCACUGGUCGAGUCGGCCUGCGCGGAAGAUGUAACGGGGCUAAACCAUG
rnacentral:rRNA from 1 species